UACGCAGGGUGCAAGCGUUAAUCGGAAUUACUGGGCGUAAAGCGUGCGCAGGCGGUGCUGUAAGACAGGGGUGAAAUCCCCGGGCUUAACCUGGGAAUGGCGCUUGUGACUGCAGCGCUGGAGUGCGGCAGAGGGGGGUGGAAUUCCGCGUGUAGCAGUGAAAUGCGUAGAGAUGCGGAGGAACACCGAUGGCGAAGGCAAUCCCCUGGGCCUGCACUGACGCUCAUGCACGAAAGAGUGGGGAGCAAACAGG
rnacentral:rRNA from 1 species